rnacentral:rRNA from 1 species
UACGUAGGGCGCAAGCGUUGUCCGGAAUUAUUGGGCGUAAAGAGCUCGUAGGCGGCUUGUCGCGUCUGUUGUGAAAGCCCGGGGCUUAACCCCGGGUCUGCAGUGGAUACGGGCAGGCUAGAGGCAGGUAGGGGAGAACGGAAUUCCCGGUGUAGCGGUGAAAUGCGCAGAUAUCGGGAGGAACACCGGUGGCGAAGGCGGUUCUCUGGGCCUUACCUGACGCUGAGGAGCGAAAGCGUGGGGAGCGAACAGG